rnacentral:rRNA from 1 species
CCGGUUGCCGGCGACCGGCGCACGGGUGAGUAACACGUAUGCAACCUGCCCGUGGCAGGGGGAUAAGCGGGGGAAACCCCGUCUAAUACCGCGUAACGCGGCCUUGGGGCAUCCCAAGGCCGCCAAAGGGAGCAAUCCCGGCCACGGAUGGGCAUGCGGCGCAUUAGCUAGUCGGCGGGGUAACGGCCCACCGAGGCGACGAUGCGUAGGGGUUCUGAGAGGAAGGCCCCCCACACUGGUACUGAGACACGGACCAGACUCCUACGGAAGGCAGCAG